rnacentral:rRNA from 1 species
UACGAAGGGUGCAAGCGUUGUCCGGAAUUAUUGGGCGUAAAGAGCUCGUAGGCGGUUUGUCGCGUCGAAUGUGAAAACCCGGGGCUCAACCCCGGGCCUGCAUUCGAUACGGGCAGACUAGAGUUCGGUAGGGGAGUCUGGAAUUCCUGGUGUAGCGGUGAAAUGCGCAGAUAUCAGGAGGAACACCGGUGGCGAAGGCGGGACUCUGGGCCGAUACUGACGCUGAGGAGCGAAAGCGUGGGGAGCAAACAGG